GGGAGUGUGGGCCGCCUGUAUAUAAAGCCUGGUAGACGGACGUCAACACAGAACACUGGCACGCGACGACGCUACAACAUCUUCUGUACUAACACGCUCAUCAAACGACCAUGAACCCUAUACGAGUUGACCGAGGUAGCUGCAGUGUCACCACAAGAACAAUUCGGAGCGUCUACAAAAGUUCUCUUGCUUUGCUUUUUACCUGUUGAUGGAGAACUCGAUCGCAACAAUUCCUUUCCUACUCCAGUUCUACCGCGGUUAGUGGAUCCUUCCCACAGCAUUACAGUGAGUUUCCUAGUGUUAAACUACAAGAAAUUGGUCUCCAAAAAAAACUGCUUUGUUAUUUCUUCUACCCCAUUUGUGGGUCAUGAGCUGUAUUGCAUUACAUUCUGUGCAAGUAAAGUCAAACUUGUACAUAUUGAAUAUCCAGUAUAUGUAACCAAUAAAGUUUUUCUAUUUAUGGAAUAAUCCAAA
rnacentral:lncRNA from 1 species